rnacentral:rRNA from 1 species
CAGCACUUUCGCAUAAAGAGCUGAAGAAAAGGUGGCUCUGAUACAAGCUACCACUUACAGAUGAAUCCGCGUCCCAUUAGCCAGUUGGUGGGGUAACGGCCCACCAAAGCGACGAUGGGUAGCCGGCCUGAGAGGGUGCCGGCCACACUGGAACUGAGACACGGUCCAGACUCUCACGGGAGGCAGCAGUGGGGAAUCUUCCGCAAUGGGCGAAAGCCUGACGGAGCAACGCCGCGUGAGAGAAGAAGGCCUUCGGGUUGUAAAGCUCUGUGAUAUUGGACGAAAAAUCUCCCUGUGAACACAGGGGAGAAAAGACGGUACAGUAAGAGGAAGCCCCGGCUAACUACGUGCCAGCAGCCGCGGUAAUACGUAGGGGGCAAACGUUGUCCGGAAUGACUGGGCGUAAAGGGCGAGUAGGUGGUAUGCCAAGUCAGAAGCGAAAACUCCGGGCUCAACCUGGAGAUUGCUACUGAAACUGGCAAACUUGAGUGCAGGAGAGGGAAGCGGAAUUCCUAGUGUAGCGGUGAAAUGCGUAGAUAUUAGGAGGAACACCAGUGGCGAAGGCGGCUUCCUGGCCUGUAACUGACACUGAGGCGCGAAAGCGUGGGGAGCGAACAGGAUUAGAUACCCUGGUAGUCCACGC